UUCCUCAACCGAGCAUCAUUAAAAGCUGAAGGAGACAUUAAAACCGAUGGCAGUGGCACAAUAGCAAAGCCAUGGAGACUUUGCAGUGUGCAACAAGUAGAAGAUCUGAAAACCUUGGUCAGGAUUCUCCCAUUGUGGUCUUCAAGUAUAUUUCUAUCCACCCCAGUUGAAAUGAAGUAUAAACCCUAUCAACUCUUAAAACAUGACUGAAUAAAUUAACAGCUAAGCUUCCAAAUCAAUUACAUGCUUUUGUUGCAGGUUCCUCAACCGAGCAUCAUUAAAAGCUGAAGGAGACAUUAAAACCGAUGGCAGUGGCACAAUAGCAAAGCCAUGGAGACUUUGCAGUGUGCAACAAGUAGAAGAUCUGAAAACCUUGGUCAGGAUUCUCCCAUUGUGGUCUUCAAGUAUAUUUCUAUCCACCCCAGUUGCAAUCCACAGCAGCCUGACGGUGCUUCAAGCUCUAAACAUGGACCGUCACCUCGGCCAACACUUGAAAAUCCCUGCCGGCUCUAUCUUGG
rnacentral:lncRNA from 1 species